rnacentral:tRNA from 1 species
GGGCCCGUAGCGCAGUCUGGAUUAGCGCGGCAGAAGAUAGCCGAUCCUCCUAAUUCAUGGCGACAGCUGUAGAGAUUGAGUAAUCAAUCUUGGUUAGAGGUCGUGAGUUCAAGUCUCACCGGGUCCG